rnacentral:rRNA from 1 species
UACGAAGGGGGCGAGCGUUGUUCGGAAUUACUGGGCGUAAAGGGCGCGUAGGCGGCGACCCAAGUCAGAUGUGAAAGUCCUGGGCUUAACCUGGGGACUGCAUUUGAUACUGGGUUGCUUGAAUUCGGGAGAGGAUGGUGGAAUUCCCAGUGUAGAGGUGAAAUUCGUAGAUAUUGGGAAGAACACCGAUGGCGAAGGCAGCCAUCUGGACCGACACUGACGCUGAGGCGCGAAAGCGUGGGGAGCAAACAGG